ACUUCAAUUGAAAGAGAAACGAAAGAGAAGAGACAUCAGACACUUGGCGCAUCCGCCAAGCCCUAAGACGCUGAGUUGAGGGAAGCAGGCAAGCAAUUACAAACGCAGCCAAAGGAGGUACCCGAUUGUGAAAAAAAGUCGUUGAAAUAGAAUUAAAAAACUGUAAUACAAAUAGCCAUAGCAUAAAAGGGUUUGGAAGCUCAAUUUCAUGGUUGAUUAUUGCUUUUCAUUAUAAAUUUGAAGUUAAGAAAGAUAAAGAGUGUGAAGUUUAUCAGAUUCGCUUUGGUUGAAGUAUCAGAUUCUUAGCUUAAAUCAGUUUCUGACACUGUUUGAUUCAGAUAUUUACCAAAAUGGGGAGUAACAUAAACUUCAAGAGUUUGGGUAAUGAACCACCGUAUGACCCCAGUAAGCCACUAGCUGGGAAUUUUCCGUUAACUCGGCAACCGUCGAUCUAUUCAUUAACGUUUGAUGAGUUCCAAAGCACUGUGGGCGGUAGUUUGGGUAAAGAUUUUGGAUCAUUGAACAUGGAUGAGUUGUUGAAGAAUAUAUGGACUGCAGAAGAGACACAAAGCAUAGUAGCCUCUUCUAGUGGCAACCAAGAUGGAACUAAUGGUUUGCAAAGACAAGGAUCUUUAACGUUGCCCAGAACUUUAAGUCAAAAGACUGUUGAUGAGGUGUGGAAAGAUAUUUCUAAAGAGUAUGUUGUGAAGGAUGGAAGUGGCGGAGGUGGUAAUCAAGGAUCUAAUAAUAUGCCAAAAAGACAACAGACUUUAGGGGAGAUGACACUGGAGGAAUUUUUAGUUAGAGCUGGGGUUGUUAGGGAAGAUAUGCAUUUGGGUUCUGGCUUUGGAAAAAUUGAUAAUAAUGCUGGGUUUUUUGGUGAUUUACCACGGUCAAGUAAUAAUACUGGAUUUGGGUUUCAGCAGAUGGUUAAGGGUGCAAAUUUGAUGGGCAAUGAAAAUUUGGACAAAGGUAAUCAGAUUUCCAUUCAGUCGUCAAAUUUGCCUUUGAAUGUUAACGGGGCUAGAUUGAGUCAACACCCACUAGCUCAACAACAGCAACAGCAACAACAGCCACAACACCCUCAAAUAUUUCCCAAGCAGCCAACAGUGGCAUAUCAGAUGCCUUUACAAAGUAGUCCCGGAAUUAAGAGUGGGAUUGUGGGUGUAGGUGAUCAGACGAUGACUAGCUCUUUGAUUCAGGGUAGUGCAGUUCAGAAUGCAGGGAUGGGAAUGAUUGGCUUGGGAGCUGGGCCAGUUGUUGCAACAGGGUCACCUGCAAAUCAGUUGACUUCAAAUGGGAUUGGGAAGAGUAAUGGAGAUACAUCUUCAGUUUCUCCUGUUCCUUACAUGUUUAAUGGAGGUUUACGGGGUAGGAAAUUCAAUGGGAAUGUGGAGAAGGUUGUUGAGAGGAGGCAGAGGAGAAUGAUAAAAAAUAGAGAGUCAGCUGCAAGGUCUCGGGCUCGCAAGCAGAUGAAAGAUUUUGAGAAGUCAAGGUCUUGGAAGUUAAUAAGGAUCCAGUUUGUUACAAGGCAUAUACAAUGGAAUUAGAAGCAGAAGUUGCAAAGUUAAAAGAGGAGAACCAAGAACUGCAGAGGAAACACGCAGAAAUCAUGGAAAUUCAGAAAAACCAGGCGUUGGAGAUGAUGAAUGCACAACAGGGAGCAAAGAAACGGUGCUUGAGACGGACACAGACUGGUCCAUGGUGAAGUGAGGGGCGGGAUUAUGGUGCUGGAACUUUUGUAUGGUAGUAGCUGUACAUAUUUGAGGCAAAAACGUGUUCAGCUGUAGAUUAAAGAGAUGAAAAUUUCUUUGUGCCGUAGAUUAGGUCAUCUAAUAUCUAAUAUAUAUUUUAUCUGUUUCUAUCUGAAUAUCCUGAUUAGGCAGGGGAAAAAGAGCAAAAUAUGUGCAACUUGUUAGUUACCAUGCGAUAUAUAUGUUCAUAGUAUGUUGGGCUUCCUAUAAUAUUUUACUCUGUAGCAGUUUUCGGUACCGACACCAUAUUUUGUUGGUGUUGAAACUGAAACACAAACAGAAACAGAAACAGCAACAGGCCCUCAAUGUUUUAAAUUUUACUGCCAAUGAUUUCUCUAC